AAGGUGCUGCUAAGAGGCCCGGCACCGGAAAUGUGCUGUGCGCCUGCGCAAGCAGCAUUGACAGGCGGCCUGACUACGGAAGGGCGCUCUGCGCCUAAAUGCGUAGCGGGGAUGGACCCGACGCCCCAGCCCUCGUCCAGCCCGAGAGCGACUCCUCGCGGCCGGCGGGAGACUCCUUGUCUCGAACCCGUGGGUCUGAGGUCUGAUUGGGCCAUGACCCUUUUCCCCUCGCUAGUGGGAAAGGCGCGUCACCUCUGGUCUUUGCUCACGAGGGGAAAGAGGAAGGUAUCGCUGCUUCUCAAGAUUGAAGUGUGCUUCCUGGAGAGCACGGAAUCAGUGUCAUCUCGUCUCUGCAGCCAACGCGCAAGGAUAGACAGAGCUCACCUGCUUCCCAAGGCCACAGGUCGAGGGCUUGGCCUUUUCCAUGCACUGAGAGUGCAGCUCCUUUGCGCCCAAGGCGGUUAGGAUCCCUUGAUGUAAAAGGAGAGGAAAUAUUCUAUGACGCGUAAUAUGGCUACACAUGAACUGGAAAAGUCAGAAACAAGAUCAUGGAGUCGUUCAAGGGGUUGAAGCUAGGGAUUGGCACAACCCAGUUUACCUUAGAAAGACCAUUGGCUGCAGUAUGGCGAAAAACCAGAGCUGUGCCAAGCACUGUGCAAGGCAUCAAGUAUGCUUUCUGGGAGCUUCAGGGUACAGCCAAUUCAGAAAGAGCCAUGCAGAAUUCAAAGUGGCCAAACAGAGGAAAAACUGCUUCUGUUCAAGAGGGGAAACUCCAUGGAGCAGAUUCUAAAAACCCAAGUCAGAGCUUACCAGAUCUGGCAAAACUGAGAACAAAGAUAUCCAGAAAAUUUCAUGGCAUCAUAUUCUCAAUCACAGCAGGAACAACAAUGGAUCUUAAUGCCAACUCCAAUCCUAAGUAGCCAUUUAACUUUUAGUUACAACACCCCACUUGUAUAAGGCUUUAAUUUCUUUACAUUAUUUGGCAUUGUAUUAAUUUGUAUUUCUAGUCUAAAACUUGUGAAUCUGAAAGAUACUGUAAAAAUACAAAUAUACUUUAAAAUAAUGAUCUGGAAUUAAUUUUUCAGGAAACACUAAAUAUUCACAUAUGGUUAUGCUUACAUUCAAUUUUUAAGCUACAAUGACACAGACUUUAGUUACAUUUACUUACCUGAGU